rnacentral:sRNA from 1 species
UUUUCGCAAUAGGGAUCGUAGUGAAAAUCCUUUUUUGCGCGGCGGCUACGCCGCCGCGCAAAAAAGAUUGCAGCGAAGAGCCCGACCCGAG